rnacentral:tRNA from 1 species
GUCUCUUUGGCUCAGCCCCGUAGAGCGAGUGACUUGUAAUCACUAAGUCGCGUGUUCAAAUCACGCACU